rnacentral:rRNA from 1 species
CUUUGACAUGUACGGAAUUUGCCAGAGAUGGCUUAGUGCUCGAAAGAGAACCGUAACACAGGUGCUGCAUGGCUGUCGUCAGCUCGUGUCGUGAGAUGUUGGGUUAAGUCCCGCAACGAGCGCAACCCUUGUCAUUAGUUGCUACAUUCAGUUGGGCACUCUAGUGAGACUGCCGGUGACAAACCGGAGGAAGGUGGGGAUGACGUCAAGUCCUCAUGGCCCUUAUAGGUGG